CAUAAUCUGAAGGUCGUGAGU
rnacentral:ncRNA from 3 species